GGUGAGCCAGAACAAACACAGGAAUGGCUUCUGAGUGUGAUGGAGGAAGACAAGAAUGCCUUGAAACGUAAAGACAUUAGAAGAUUCAAGUGGAGAAAUAAUUGGCUCUGAACAGAGUCGUUAAUUUAUGUAUCGGUUGACAUUGCGUUAUGUAUUCCACAGUGCUUUAUUUCAUAAUAUGAACACUUGAAUGUGAAAACAUUGGUUAUGUUUUGGUUUGGACACAAAUAAAUAAUAAAAGGAGAUCCUACCGUCCUGCUGUUGGGUUUCUAGUUUGAUUCUGCUUUUAGGCUGUUACAUUUUUCAUAUAGGGAAUGCUUAGAUUUUUAGAUUUA